rnacentral:rRNA from 1 species
AUUAUUAUGGUGUAUAUAGAAAGAUUGUUAGUAUGUAAUAGUUGUGAAAGCAAAAGAUUUUGGCGGUAUUCUAAGCUUUUUAGAGGAAUUUGCUCUGUAAUUGAUGAGACACCAAUAUCUGACUUAGUUUUGUAAGGGCAGUUUGUAUAUCGCUAUUUUAAAAAUCAUAUUGUAUGAUGAUAAUGAUUGGAAUAAAUAUUUUUUAAUAUGUUAGGUCAAGAUGCAGCUUAUAACUAAGGUUGAAGUGAAUUACGGUUAUUUUUAUUAGGUUUAAUGAAAAGAAUUUUUAGGAUUUAAAAGUAAAAUAAAAUUAUAAUGUUUAUUUGAAUAAAGCUCUAGAAUAUGUAC